UUCCUGGACGACUGGAUGGAAAGUUGGCCUGCGUGCUGCCCGCUGGCCGUGCCAUAGGAAUUUCAACGGGGAUAUAAGUAUAAGAACGCGGAGACGGGGAGUCGUUCGCGGUAGUGUGAGGCACAAACGCGCCACGGCACCACACCCAGCGUGCCCAACGUUACGACAGUGAGGGACAACAACAGGACCCCGGCCAUGCGCGUCGCGGUGAUCUUCUUGGCGUGCGCCGCCGCGCUUUCCGCUGCACAGAACCAGGAUGGACCGAGGGACUCGAUACGAGCGACUCGCUAUCAGAGAUUACCCCCUCGAUCAGGCACCACCGGACCGGCCUUCCCCAAUCAACGAUUCCGCCGACCGAUCUCCUUCAAACCCCGCGCAGGCCCCGGAGACGACGCGCCCGGUACGUUCCGACCCCUGCGGCCGAAUUCGCCGAUAGCCGCACCUUCGUUCGCGCAUCACGUAAAGCCGGUGAACGAGGACCCCGAAGAGGAAGACGUGUCUUCCACCCGCGAGGAUGAAGACACACGCGAGCAGAGCCAGGAGAUCAGGAGCGACGAAGAUUUGAGCGAAGAGUUUCCGCGUACGGCGGCGAAUCCACCGCGGGUAAUCCCGGUGGCGUCGGGACCGCUGACGUACCGUCCACCCAUCCAGACGGUGACGCCGUCGAGCGUCCGGGUGGGACCCACGACACCCUCGCUGCCACCGCCGCCGCCGUCACCCGUUCAGUACCGUCCGACACCCCCGCCGCCGCCGCCCAUCCAGUACCGCGCGACGCACAAGCCCACAAAGGCUCCGAGGAAGCAGAUCAUCGACGACCUCACGUUCCAGCAACCGAUCAAGCCGCCGCCCAAGGCGGUGAAGCCGUCCCAAGCUUACGAAAUCCGCGGCAAAAAGCCGGUAGCGCAGAUAAUCAGGCGAUACCGGCAUGACAACCCGGAUGGUUCCAUCACGUGGGGCUUUGAAAACGACGACGGAUCGUACAAGGAAGAGACGAUCGGCGUAGAUUGCAUAACCAGCGGUAAGUACGGAUACAUCGAUCCGGAUGGUCUUCGACGUGAGUACACGUACGAAAUGGGAAUCAAGUGCGAUGAGCAGGAACAGGAGGAGGAGGAAGAGGGUUUCGUGGAUUACCAAGAAAACAAGCUGGUAUUGCCGAACGGGAAGACCAUCGAUCUCUCCUCGAUGGGCAAGAAAGCGCGCCGGCCCCAGUUCCAAUAUAGAAAUUAAAGGAAUCAGAGACUCGCAUUUCGUAAACUCGCCAUCGCCUUUGUCGUACUUAAUCGCGUAACUGUAACUCAUAAUGUAAAAUGCGUUUCUUAAGAUAAACUAGAGUUAUAUAAAGAUAUAUAAAUAAGUUAAGAUAUCGAGAGAUUAGUGAUACAAAUAACGCGUAAUUCCAUGUAAGAUCAUUUAGUGUAUUAGGCUUAAUAAAUUAGGCUUAAUAAAUAAAAUAAACUGAAAGAGAUAUUAAUAACAUCAGCUUAAAAUAAUCGUAUCUCCAAUACAUUGAGCUUGAGGCAGUUCUCAAUAAUAUAGUUCGCUGCGUGAUAAGAAACACGCUUAAUCUAAUCAAUAUUCAUCAUACAAUAUUCAUAAUGACGACGAAAAUGAACAUAAUUACAUAAGUAAUCGGAAAUUUUCACGCGAGAUACUAGUACCUUAUUCUUAUCGAAAAUCAAAAAAAGUUCAUUUAUAAAGAUAACUCGUAAUAAACUUACGCCGUGUAAUACAAAAAAUAAUUGAAGAUUUAUAUAUAGAAUACAACACAUCAGAAUGCAGCAUGUUAUACUUUAAUGUAUAUAUGAAAUAUACAUUAAGAUGCACACAUAUAUUAAAAUAUUAAAAUUAUAAACAGAAUUCGACGCAAAUUGUUAAUCUUAUUCGUAAUACUUUCGCAAUAUUUUACGGGCAAAAUCCGUCCGUCCCACACUGAAAAGGGAUCGGGAGCGAACUGAAUUCUAGGAAACAACAAUGAUUCAUUUCGUUAAAUACAUUCACCGACGUUGAGACUUUAUUUCGCCGAUCAUCAUUAUUAUGCAUAAUAAUAUCCAUAUCAGAUCUCUCGUCAGAUUUUUAACUAGACAUUGAUACAAGAGUAUACCGUGUUGUGUACAUAUCGAUAUUGUAUAGGUUUGAACUUGAAUAAAGGUAACAAAAUUAAUAAAUA